GCGCCCGUAGCUCAAUUGGAUAGAGCGUUUGACUACGGAUCAAGAGGUUAGGGGUUAGACUCCUCUCGGGCGCGCCA
rnacentral:tRNA from 1 species